ensembl:lncRNA
UGUGUGUGAUUGUGGGUGAGUGUGGGCAUGUUGUUGUGUGUGAUUGUGGGUGAGUGUGGGCAUGUUGUUGUUUGUGAUUGUGGGUGAGUGUGGGCAUGUUGUUGUGUGUGAUUGUGGGUGAGUGUGGGCAUGCUGUUGUGUGUGAUUGUGGGUGAGUGUAGGCAUGUUGUUGUGUGUGAUUGUGGGUGAGUGUGGGCAUGUUGUUGUGUGUGAUUGUGGGUGAGUGUGGGCAUGUUCUUGUGUGUGAUUGUGGGUGAGUGUAGGCAUGUUGUUGUGUGUGAUUGUUGGCGAGUGUGGUUAUGUUGUUGUGUGUGGUUGUGGGCGAGUGUAGGCAUGUUAUUGUUUGUGAUUGUGGGUGAGUGUGGGCAUGUUGUUGUUUGUGAUUGUGGGUGAGUGUGGGCAUGUUGUUGUGUGUGAUUGUGGGUGAGUGUGGGCAUGUUGUUGUGUGUGAUUGUGGGUGAGUGUGGACAUGUUGUUGUGUGCUAUUGUGGGCAAGUGUGGGCAUGUUGUUGUGUGUGAUUGUGGGUGAGUGUGGGCAUGUUGUUGUGUGUGAUUGUGGGUGAGUGUGGGCAUGUUGUUGUUUGUGAUUGUGGGUGAGUGUGGGCAUGUUGUUGUGUGUGAUUGUGGGUGAGUGUGGGCAUGCUGUUGUGUGUGAUUGUGGGUGAGUGUAGGCAUGUUGUUGUGUGUGAUUGUGGGUGAGUGUGGGCAUGUUGUUGUGUGUGAUUGUGGGUGAGUGUGGGCAUGUUGUUGUGCGUGAUUGUGGGUGAGUGUAGGCAUGUUGUUGUGUGUGAUUGUGGGUGAGUGUGGGCAUGUUGUUAAGUGUGAUUGUGGGUGAGUGUGGGCAUGUUGUUGUUUGUGAUUGUGGGUGAGUGUGGGCAUGUUGUUGUGUGUGAUUGUGGGUGAGUGUGGGCAUGUUGUUGUGUGUGAUUGUGGGUGAGUGUGGGCAUGUUCUUGUGUGUGAUUGUGGGUGAGUGUAGGCAUGUUGUUGUGUGUGAUUGUUGGCGAGUGUGGUUAUGUUGUUGUGUGUGGUUGUGGGCAAGUGUGGGCAUGUUGUUGUUUGUGAUUGUGGGUGAGUGUGGGCAUGUUGUUGUGUGUGAUUGUG